rnacentral:snRNA from 1 species
CAGCCCUUUGUCGCUAAG